rnacentral:lncRNA from 1 species
CACAUACUUAGUUUUUAUUUGCACCCUUCCCCUGACUAGUGAGUGAGAAAGGUUGUGCGUGCGUGUGUGUGUGUGUGUGUGUGUGUAUUUUCCUUUGUGGCUACAUUUUUGGUUUGCUUCCACUUAUUUCAUGCUUGCUGCCUAGAAGAAAUGGAUGGAUGGGUUUUGAUCAGGGGAAAGGCAGUUUGCCCAUUAUCUGCCCAUGAAGGGCUUACCAGUGGGUAGGCCACCCAGGAGCUCAGCUUGUCUUGUCAACAUACCGAUGUAGCAAAAUCGAUGUGUUUGGAGCUGGAAUUAUUUUUCACAGUCUUGUUUGGGCCAGGUCUUGGUCUAUGCUAUGCCUUAUAUAAUGUACAUCAUGAACCUUCACUGGAAAAGAAGCCUGGCACUGGAGGAGUGGCACCUCUGCCCAAACAAGCGAGGAAGCAGACUCUCACUGGAGGAUCAGUGCCAGCCUGGGUACGAGUGACAGCUCUGAACUAGAGGAGCAGCACCCUUCCUCCAUGUGAGUGGACAAACUGCAGCUGGAGGAGUGAGGCCCCGGCUCCAGAGGAGCACGGGAGAGAGGAGCAGGGGCAAGGAAUAACCAACCAUCACCAUCCUGGACAAGGACAACACCUGGGCAGAAACAGGAGCAACCAGACCCUAUGACUGAGGACAAAAACAAAUUCAAAACAGCUGGAAGAGAGACACAUGAGAAAAAUGGCAGAUCUGGAAUUCCUGGGGCCACAUUCCAGGGACUGGACACCGGCUGCUUCCUGAGGAUGCGGGUGGAGGAGCUUCUGACUUCACAGCCCCUGCAGGCCCUGAUGUCCAGUUCUACCCACAGACAGGACAGGACUGUUGUAGCCUUCAUGCCUGGUCUAAGCAGCCUCUCAGGAACCCCCUGAGCCCUGGAGUCCACACAACUCCAAAGCAGCUCAGUUAGGGGAGAGUCAGGGACCCCCAAAUGCUAAGUACCCAGACAUUCUUCAGACCUCUACAUAAUUCAGGCUUAAAAAUGACCUAGGUUGAGUCUGCUGUCAUGUUUUUGGGAUGAAGAUGAAAAGAGAAGUGAAAGUGUCUAAAGAGAAGAGCUCUUCCAUUUCUUGCACUGCUGAACUUGUGAAGAUUCCUAUCCUGUUCAUAAGUAGGAGACCAAGAAGUGGAGAGAGAGGAGAGAGGAAGUAAAAAGAAUCAAGCUGUGUUCUGUACAUCUACCAACUACCCAUG